rnacentral:rRNA from 1 species
AAACAAACAAGAGUUUGAUCCUGGCUCCGAAUGAACGCUAGCGAUAGGCCUAACACAUGCAAGUCGAACGCAUACUUUAGAGUAUGAGUGGCAGACGGGUGAGUAACGCGUGAGACAUCUACCUUACAGCCCGGUAUAAAUAUCUAUAUAGAGGCGAAAAUCUUUAUAUAUGAGUGAAUCCCGGAUAUUUUGAAUAAAAAAAAAGGCAAAGAACCGUUGUAAGAUGAGCUCGCGUAGGAUUAGGUAGUUGGUAAGGUAAAAGCUUAUCCAAGCCGAUGAUCCUUAGCUAGUUCUGAGAGGAUGAUCAGCCACACUGGGACUGAGACACGGCCCAGACGCUUUCGAGCGGCAGCAGUGAGGAAUUUUGGACAAUGGGCGAAAGCCUGAUCCAGCUAUAUCGCAUGAAUGAAGAAGGCUCAAUUGGUUGUAAAAUUCAUAGUUUCAUUGUAGAUUAUGACAUUGAUGAAAUGAAUAGUCCCGGCCAACUCCGUGCCAGCAGCCGCGGUAAUACGGGGGGGGCGAGCGUUAUUCGAAAUGAUUGGGCGUAAAGAGCACGUAGACGGUUUUUUAAGUGGACAUUAUAUCUUUUUUGUUCUCUAAGGAUAAAAAAGAAAGGAUUAUGGAAAUAUUUCUGUACUCGGGAAAAAGACCAAGGCUCAACCAUGGUGUUUCCCGCCAAACUAAAAAACUAGAGUAAGUUAGAGGAAAGUGGAAUUCCUGGAGGAAAGGUUAAAUUUUAUGAUAUCAGGAGGAACGCCCAAAGCGUAGGCAACUUUCUACUGCUUAACUGACGUUGAGGUGCGAAAGCAUGGGGAUCAAAGGGGAUUAGAUACCCCUGUAGUCCAUGCCGUCAACUAUGAGAAUUCACUCUUAGAACACUGUGUAUUCCUUUGAACGAUGGGUUUUUUCUCAUCAAUCAAAGGAAUACGCAGUUCGUUUUAGGGGUUCUAGCUAACGCGUUAAAUUCUCCGCCUGAGGAGUACGACCGCAAGGUUAAAACUCAAAGGAAUAGACGGGGGCUCACACAAGUGGUGGAACAUGUGGUUUAAUUCGACACAACGCGCAAAACCUUACCAGCCCUUGACAUAAGCUUGAAUACAUCUUUUAUCGGAUAAUUAUACAGUUUACAGGCGUUGCAUGGCUGUCGUCAGCUCGUGUCGUGAAACCAAUAUAUAAAAAAAUAAUCGCGACCUAGAGGAGUGAUCCUCUAGUAAAAUCCAACUCAUAACGGUGGAACCCUUGUGUAAAGGCAUUGAUUUACAGAUAUAUCAAAAUAAGCAAGGGCAAUACCGUGGGAAGUCGAUAGAUAAUGUAUUCUUUUGUUUUACGUAGUAAAACAACAAAAAUAAUAAAAGAAAGAUCUAUCCUUUUUUGUAUUAAAAAAAUACAAAAAUCCACCAAAAAAAAGGUAUUAUAAACGAACAUUUUUUUGUGUGCUAUCUUCAUAUAUUAUAUUCUUAUAGACUUUAUAUAUAUAUAACUUUCUUUCAUUAUCUAAACAUAAUACUGUAAUAUUUGACCCCGUAACGACUUUGUUAUUUUUUUUACAAAAAAAGGCAAGAUAUCGGAUCUUAUUGAAUAUAAAAAUUGAAUAUGCCGGUAUAACACGUUGGCUCUUGUAACACUAUUUUGAAAAAGAUAGUAACAAGAUGAAGGUAUAGUCUAUUCCUUAUAGUAAUAUAGGGGUUAUUGCAGUAAUCAUAAAUGGAUCCUUUUUCUAACCUGUUCCUUCCCUUUUCAUCGCUUAAAAAAAAAAGGACUAUUUUUUGACAGGGAAGGGAUACCAGAUUAGGAUACCAGGUUGGAGAUUUUGUAAAAGAAUACAAAAUUGUAUUUUCUAUAAUACAAAAUGAUCCUUUUUGUUUUGUUUUACGUAGUAAAACAACAACCUUCUAUUCGCUUUUUUUUUUUUUAAAAAAAGGGCAGAGAUACCUGGUUACUGUAAACAUUGGAGAUGUUUGGUUAAGUCCUUUAACGAGCGCAACCCUUUUGAAAUGUUGGUAGUAAAGAACAACUCUUUAACCACUCUUUUCAUACUGCCGGUUAUAUACUGGAGGAAGGGAAGGAUAACGUCAAGUCGUCAUGACCCUUAUGGGCUGGGCUACACACGUGUUACAAUGGUAAUUACAAAGGGAAGCAAUGGUGCGAAUCGGAGCGAAUCCUUAAAAAUUACCUCAGUUCAGAUUGUUCUCUGCAAUUCGAGAACAUGAAGAUGGAAUCACUAGUAAUCGUGGAUCAGCACGCCACGGUGAAUCUGUACCUGAGCCUUGUACUCACCGCCCGUCACACUCUGGAAGUCG